rnacentral:lncRNA from 12 species
UUCGCCUCAACAGAGGGUGGCGGAAACCCCUUGUCUUCUUGAAAGCAUGACAUGCUCCUGUGCUGGGGAAUGGUCUUCUGCCCCGUGAAGAACGUGCAGACACGACUACAAGCUGUAUAACGUCGGCUGGGAUGCUUAGCGGUGCUGGCGAUGCUAAGAGAACCCCCAGUCCACCUAGCACCCUGUCCUGGCCGUCGGGAAAAGGCUGCUGUACCCUAAUCGUGUCUCACCAGGUGGAAAAUUCCUGA